rnacentral:rRNA from 1 species
GGAAGGAUCAUUACUGAAUUGUCAACACGAGUUGUUGCUGGUCCUCAAUGGGGGCACGUGCACGCUCUGUUUACACAUCCACUCACACCUGUGCACCCUCUGUAGUUCUGUGGCUUGGGGGCUCCGUCCUCCUGCUGUGGUUCUAUAUCUUUACACACACUCUGUAAUAAAGUCUCAUGGAAUGCACACCGCGUUUAACGCAAUACAAUACAACUUUCAGCAACGGAUCUCUUGGCUCUCGCAUCGAUGAAGAACGCAGCGAAAUGCGAUAAGUAAUGUGAAUUGCAGAAUUCAGUGAAUCAUCGAAUCUUUGAACGCACCUUGCGCCCUUUGGCUAUUCCGAAGGGCAUGCCUGUUUGAGUAUCAUGAACACCUCAACUCUUCAUGGUUUUCCAUGAUGGGCUUGGACUUUGGGGGUCUUGCUGGCCUGUAGUCAGCUCCUCUCAAAUGAAUCAGCUUUCCAGUGUUUGGCAGCGUCACAGGUGUGAUAACUAUCUACGCUUGUGGUUUUCUGCCAGGUAAUCCUCAGUGAUGGGGAUUCGCUGGGGCUUAUAAAUGUCUCUCCUCAGCGAAGACAGCUUUGUGAACAUUUGAUCUCAAAUCAGGUAGGACUACCCGCUGAACUUAAGCAUAUCAAUAAGCGGAGGAAAAGAAACUAACAAGGAUUCCCCUAGUAACUGCGAGUGAAGCGGGAAGAGCUCAAAUUUAAAAUCUGG